rnacentral:rRNA from 1 species
AUUGAACGCUGGCGGCAUGCUUUACACAUGCAAGUCGAACGGCAGCGCGGGCUUCGGCCUGGCGGCGAGUGGCGAACGGGUGAGUAAUACAUCGGAACGUGCCCAGUAGUGGGGGAUAGCUCGGCGAAAGCCGGAUUAAUACCGCAUACGACCUGAGGGUGAAAGCGGGGGAUCUUCGGACCUCGCGCUAUUGGAGCGGCCGAUGGCAGAUUAGCUAGUUGGUGGGGUAAAGGCCUACCAAGGCGACGAUCUGUAGCUGGUCUGAGAGGACGACCAGCCACACUGGGACUGAGACACGGCCCAGACUCCUACGGGAGGCAGCAGUGGGGAAUUUUGGACAAUGGGCGAAAGCCUGAUCCAGCAAUGCCGCGUGUGUGAUGAAGGCCUUCGGGUUGUAAAGCACUUUUGGCGGGAACGAAGAGGACUGUGCCAAUACCACGGUUCGAUGACGGUACCCGCAGAAUAAGCACCGGCUAACUACGUG